CCCUCCCUGCUCGGUGCGUGAUGGGCUUUAUUUAAACCCACAUUUCUGAAACGGGAUGCCCCACUCAUGGUGCGGAUCGCAGGCCUCCCGACUCCCGAGGUCGGAAGUUGGAAGCGGAGAAACAUCAUGGAGGCAACCCACCUGCCAUUUCGUGCAGGUUUUAAAUGGGUCCACACGGCCAGAGCGGGGAGCUA
rnacentral:other from 1 species